GCGCACCAUCAUCAUUGCCUCCUUCCCGUUUUGUGCUGCUUCGCUACCUCACGCGCCGUGAACGGUAGACGCAGGAGCAGCGCCCCCCCCCCUCCCUUUCACACUCACGAGACGCGAAAAGAGAGAGAGAGAGAGAGAGAGACGACCUUCUCCAACGAAACGGCUUCAUCUCGUCGGAUUGUACCCGCGCGACGGGUCAUCACCCGUAGACGAGAGGGCCUUCUUGUCGCAGAUAGAGGCACCACGUGAAGAAAUAAGGAGAAGCCAAGCGCUGCUGCGGCCUUUUCCAUGAUGCUCUCACAUGCGAUGAUAACGGGCCGGCACCUCUACCGCCCAAGCUGCGCGGCGCUAAGGCAAUCUGUUUGCACGGUGUCACAGAGCCGCUGCUGCAGUACCCUCGGACAGAUCCAGUCUGUGUUUAAAGCGCUGCGUCAGGCGAAGGGUGUCCGAGGCGGUGCUGUGCGGCUUUGUAUCACUGAGGACAUGCGGGUGGUAGUGGAGCAUCAGCCAUCGUCGGAGGGUGGUGCGCAGGCACUUGUGAACGAGGUGGCGGCGUGGCAAGGCACUGUUUCCACUACCGUGCAGGAGGCUGUUGGCCACCUCAGUGAUUCCAACGAGCUGCGCACCAGCACGUCUCCUCUGCAGUCCUCUCCGACGCCGCCCGUCUCGCGAGAUGGCCUCACCAUCGUCGAUCUUACAAGAGUGAAUUCUGACGAAACCCGCCGCGUCAUGAAAUUUCUGGAGCAGAGAUACCCGCAGCUGCGGCUACGGGUGCGCCACACCAGCGGGCAGGACCUACAGGGAACGCAACUGCACACCGCCAGCGUUGAGCUCGUGCCACGCGGCACGGGAGUGCAGGCGGCGUCCCUCGCUGCCGAGCAGCAGCGCCUGACCGAAUUGUUCAAGGGCGAGGCUGUCGGCGAAGGCUACCAUGGAUGCGUGCGCCGCGCUCUCCGAGACGCCUUCUCUGCUGCUGGUCUUCCGUAUCCAUCAAGCUCUGUGGUAAGCACAACUGCCCUGUCGGUGCUCUCUCUCUACACAAAGGUCUGGUCGUCUGAGGGCUUUUCGCUGUUCUUGGUGCCGCACGUCACCCCCGGCAACGUGGAGUGCAGCCUGCGCCAUGGUGCUACAGGGAAAUCACUGACGUCAACCACAGUAGCCCUCACCAGCGACGGACUGCGCGCGUUGCUGAAGUUCUGCGACGACACGACGUCGGAGUACUAUCCUGACUGUCACGCUUCUAUUCAGCAGCGCCUCCUCAGUGCGCCACUCCACCUUGUGUUACCACGGAGCCAUUUGCGCGUGAAGCACCUUCUGCGCAAGCUUCUCUUGUACUACUACGGCAUCGGCGAAGAGAAGGUUGUCUUUCGGGCAGAGAUGGUGGGUGGCUCGAUGCACAAGGUUCAGGUGCAGGCGUGUCUUGAUUUACCGACCGUCACCGACCUGGCUGGUGACGCCCUCCGCUUCUUUGUCCUUGGCAAGGCAACGGGCCGUUCCAAAAGCUCCACGGUCGAGCUUGCCACGGUGCAGGCGCUGCAGACGGUGUUUCCUGACGUGUUUGAGCGCGAGAUCGCCUACCAUCCAGAGGUGCGCGCCAUCCUGGAGAACAGCAAAGCCACCGCCUCUGAAGACGCCGCUCCGCACCCCGGACAGGGACUAGAGCACCAACUGCGUUGGGCACUGCAACGGCAGAAGGCGACCUUCGUACUAGAGACGCUAAUGCUGAAAUCCAACUCGCUUCAUCCAGAGUGGGGCGUCGCGACGGGGGCCACGCCUGUGUGGCUGUCUCAGCUGUACAUUGUCAGAGGCCACGCCGACGCCAAGGCGGCUGAUCGGUCGGACGCCGGCGUUGCGGCCAGCCGUGAGCUAUGUUGUUGCGCGUUCGACGGCCGGAAAGCGCGCAGCGAGCAAAAGGCGAUGGCGGCUGCGCUGGCGCAGCGAUUCCCUGAUCUUUGCCAUCGAAGCGUGGCGCAGGCGCGGGAGAAAAUGCUCAUCGACGCCGGCGGCGCUCCAGCACCGUGUGCGGGGGUGAAGGCGUUGCAGGACGCCAACGUCAAGACACUGACGGCGGCCCUCUUGUCCGAUCCAUUUAUCAGGUUCCUGGACCCGCACAAGUCAACCCAGCCGCAGCCGCUUCCUCCGGUGCAGACGGCCGACUCCGCCUUGGAGCGCUACUGGCGUGCGACCAAAGCGCAUACUUCGUUUCUCGGGAGCAUUCGUGUGGUGCGUGAAGCGGACCGCGCCGUGUACGUUGCGCGGUGCACACGGGCGGCCGCUGUGCAUGAUUCGCCGGAGCGAGUGAUUGCCGAGGCCGCCGGGUCCACCGAGAUUGGUGCGCUGUUUGCUCUGGUGAGAGGCAUGCAGGAGCUCCCGGAGGUUGUCUGCCGAGACCCUUCUAGCACGGUCGCUAGCGAAUUCUGCUUGACGGCCGAGCUGCCAUCGACGCUACCAGAUUCGUCACCGUUGCAGACGUGCGCAGAAGCCAUCGCGCGCCUCUACGGACUGCAGUGCACCGUGUGUGUUCGCCAGGACGGCGCCACGUGUGCGGCGGAGUUGUGGGGCGCGACGCCGCCGAAGAGCACCGUGUUGCAGCCGCAUUCGCGGUUCUCGACGAAUCCCUUUUCAGCUGAUCGGGCCUUUCAUCUUGGCCGAGGGUACGCCAGCACGCCACGCCUGGCUGUGGUGCGCGCUGCGCAGCAGGUGUUCGAGAUGCACAUACGAGUCCACCAUCGUGCUUUCGGUGAUGAGGUGGUGAUGAGGGGGCAGGUGAGGCUUCAGCCGGGUGCACACGGGUCCCUCACUCGUCUGCGCGACGCGGUGGUAGCAGAGAUCAUGUCCACGAGUGACCGCACGGUCAGUGACAACUGGCUCCUCUUCAGUUUCGAGCACGAUCAGCUAAGCGACUUGUCGUUUCACGUAACAUCACACGAGCGCUCUGUCAUACUGGAGCAUGUUGUCGGCAAGAACCUGCUCAGCUGCGCACGCGAACUGGCCAUCCGCAUCAGUCACGAAACGAGCGACGCCUUCCUCUCCCCAGCGCACCUGUGUGACGUAGUGGCGCCAACGGCGGAGCAGCUGCUGGGAAAGUUGUGUCUUCAAGCCUACGGUCUUCGCCUGCGGGUGGACACGUGCCAGAGAGGCCAGAUGUGGCACUGCCGGCUGAGUGUGCCCAUGUCAGACGAGGUCGCGUACUGCAUCGCGCAGGCUUCCGGUCUUCGCAAGAGGGAUACCGUGGAAGCCGCCGCGGUGGCUGCACUGCGGGAGUACUUUGUCGAGGAGUUGCCCCAUAUUCACAGCUACGCGACGCUUCCCGCGGUUGCUGCGCUGCAAAGUCCCGACGGCCUCUCUAGCGAGGCGGCGGCGAAGUCGGGCUGCGAGGCGUACGCAUUCCGUGUGCAGGAAGGAGCUUCUGCACCCGAGCCAGAGUAUCACUCCUAAAGGCGCGAGGGUGCAGAUAGGGCAAUGACGUCCUACAUCGGCUCUGUGGACCCGUGCCGAGGUCCCUGCGGAUCCGAGGCCGGAAAAGGGCGCAUACCGUGCUGCUGUCAGAUGAGCACAUUCGGCUUCCAUGUGGGUCUGUGGUUUCAGGGGUCGCUGCGGGCAGUGCUGCUGCUCGAGUGGCGGCGGCGUGUGCGUUCUUCACAGUUGUGGUUUUCUGUGUUUUUUUUUUUCGCCCCCCCCUCUUUUUUCCAUCCGUGUGUCUCGCUCGCCAUCCCUUCGCAUUUUUCAGGGCGCGUGAGGUGUGUGAUCACCGAGGUG
rnacentral:misc_RNA from 1 species